rnacentral:misc_RNA from 1 species
UCCUGCACGCUCUGCACGCAGUGCGUGAACAGCAAAACCGCAAAAGAUGCAUCCUUGAGCAGACACACACCCGUACACGCGCGUGCAGACACAGGGGCAGACGCAAGGCACUGAUGCAUAGAUAUACCCUUUAGAUCCACAGCAACGAACUCGUAGUCAGCACAGAUGCACACAUGGCGCUAUCUUAUCACGUCGUGCUCUUUUUGUUUCUUUUCUUCUCCUUCGCAGACGUGGUGCUUAUCAGCGUCCGCACACUCGUCUCGCGGCGCUAUCACAGCCUCACCCUCUGCUACGCCCUGAUGGCGGUGCAGGAGUCCAUUCUUGUCUUUGAGCUCCUCGCGGUGCUGGGCCAGGUGCUCUCGACAUACCUCGUCACGGCCAGCAUGUGGGCACACACAGCAUCGCUGCUCGGCGCUUUUACACCGCUGUGGCUGCUGCGCACCUUCCUCACGGCCUUCACCGUGGUCUACAAGGACAUCCUGCUCCCGCGUUGGUCAUCGGCGGCGGCAUCCACUGGAGUUUGGGGACUUCUCUCUCACGCCUCUCGCGCGUGGCGCGCCACCGGCUAUGGCGCUGUCGUCUCCCUCGACGUCGCUUGCUUCUGCUUCUACUAUCUAUCCGCCGUGUAUGUGUUGGCCUACUUGUCGGAGAAGCGCCUCUACGUGCCCUAUCAUCGCCGGCGCUGGCGGCAUUUGCAGCGGAGGCGGGCACUCACGGCUACCGCCGCCACGGCCGUCGCGGACGAAGAGGACCGAGAAGUAGCGCGGCAAAAACGAUGGCGAGAGGAGCGACAAGGCGGAGCAAGGAGGACGGAUGGCGACGGUGGGGGUGAGGCGGUCGUCAGCUACCCGACCGUGAUGCCACUCACCCGCACCCCGUCUUUUCGGCAGUGGGAAGCGGUGCUGCAGCAGCAACAGCAAGAAACAGGUAACGGGAGAAGCGCCACAGCCGGCGACGGCCUUGCGCCGCUACGUGCAUGUGAGGGAAGAAGCCCGGGAGACAAGUCGUUUUCCAACACGACCGGGGCGGCUUGGACGAGCGCGAACGCAUUGCAGUCACCUUCCUAUCCUACAUCCGGAGUGCGCCGUCGGGAGGAGGCCAGUGACAACGGUACUGAGGCGAGCGGACUCAUCUCCAACACGGUCACGGCGGUCCCUGAUGGUUCCACGCAACCGCCCUCGGCAGCGCAUCUGAGCUCACCGGAGGCGGCCACCGCGGGGGCGACAGUGACAGAAACGGCGGCGGCUAAACCGCAGCGGGCUGUGCAGCAGCAUCACGGGAAGCCGGCCACACGGGCGCCUCGUGGCGCGGUCACCGCGACCGCCACCACCGGUGUUGGCUCGCCGAGGCAACCGCGACCAGUCUCCCUCGUCGCGAACUUGCCACCGCUUCAGCUGCAGCGCCGCUUCACUAUCAGCAAUAGCCCAGAGGAAGAGAGGCGCUUGCACCAGUUCGCCGCCGCCCUGGCCGAGCACGGCUACACGUCAGUGCCGUCGCAGACGCGCAACAUCACCCCGGAGCUGCCGUCAAGCAAGUCGCAUGUGAAGAUAAGCGACGGUGUUGCUGUGAAAAGCGGAACUCCGUCUAUCACAGAGGUACCGACGGCGCACGAGGGAGGUGAGGCUGACAAGGAGCGGGACGCCGGCAACCUCCUCUCCUAGACGGCGGCGGCGACGUCAGCACCGGAACUAGAAGCGGAACAGCGCUCCAGCUACAGCACUUCAUGUUGACUAUGAGCGCCACGCAGGACGCAAGUGCAUCCAGCUGAGCUGCGCCGCUCCGUAUUGUCCUCUCCGUGCUUGCGUGGCCCUAUGGGGCUGUUGGUGCGGGGUAGAGUUAGCGAUGGCGCACCCGUCGGGCCGCAUCGUGUGCGCCCCUCUCCACUCCCCCCCCACAAACCCUUCUUGAGCCUUCAAGUGUACGCAGAGGUGAAGACAAGUGCGUGAUCGAGGCACGUAGCGCAUAG